rnacentral:rRNA from 1 species
CAGUCGCCGCGGGAAUACAGAGGGUGCAAGCGUUUAUCGGAAUUACUGGGCGUAAAGCGCGCGUAGGUGGUUUGUUAAGUUGGAUGUGAAAUCCCCGGGCUCAACCUGGGAACUGCAUUCAAAACUGACUGACUAGAGUAUGGUAGAGGGUGGUGGAAUUUCCUGUGUAGCGGUGAAAUGCGUAGAUAUAGGAAGGAACACCAGUGGCGAAGGCGACCACCUGGACUAAUACUGACACUGAGGUGCGAAAGCGUGGGGAGCAAACAGGAUUAGAUACCCGGGUAGUCCCUGUCUCUUAUAC